rnacentral:rRNA from 1 species
AUUAGAUACCCUGGUAGUCCACACAGUAAACGAUGAAUACUCGCUGUUUGCGAUAUACAGUAAGCGGCCAAGCGAAAGCAUUAAGCAUCCCGCCUGGGGAGUACGGCCGCAAGGCUAAAACUCAAAGAAAUUGACGGGGGCCCGCACAAGCGGCGGAGCAUGCGGAUUAAUUCGAUGCAACGCGAAGAACCUUACCAGGGCUUGACAUCCUACUAACGAACCAGAGAUGGAUUAGGUGCCCUUCGGGGAAAGUAGAGACAGGUGGUGCAUGGUUGUCGUCAGCUCGUGUCGUGAGAUGUUGGGUUAAGUCCCGCAACGAGCGCAACCCUUAUUCUUAGUAGCCAGCGGAGAGGCCGGGCACUCUAGGGAGACUGCCAGGGAGAACCUGGAGGAAGGCGGGGAUGACGUCAAAUCAUCAUGCCCCUUAUGAUUUGGGCAACACACGUGCUACAAUGGCGUAAACAAAGGGAAGCGAAGUGGUGACGCGGAGCGAACCCCAAAAAUAACGUCCCAGUUCGGAUUGCAGUCUGCAACUCGACUGCAUGAAGCUGGAAUCGCUAGUAAUUCCGGAUCAGCAUGCCGGGGUGAAUGCGUUCCCGGGCCUUGUACACACCGCCCGUCACACCACGAAAGUCGGUUUUACCCGAAGCCGGUGAGCCAACAAGCAAUUGAGGCAUCCGUCUACGGUAGGCCCGAUGAUUGGGGUGAAGUCGUAACAAGGUAAC